rnacentral:lncRNA from 1 species
CUUUUAUGGUCAUAAACCUUGUGUUUAAAUUUCAUAGAUUUCUAUUUACUUAUACUAAAGUUAUGGUGCGAAAACUAAGAAUAAUGCUUAUUUGGGCCCUUUUUUGGCCCCUAAUUCCUAAACUGUUGUGACCUCAACUCCAAAAAUCAAUCCCAACCUUCCUUUUGUGGUCAUAAACCUUGUGUUUAAAUUUCAUUGAUUUCUAUUUACUUAUACUAAAGUUAUUGUGCGAAAACCAAGAAUAAUGCUUAUUUGGGCCCUUUUUUGGCCCUUAAUUCCUAAACUGUUGGAACCAAACCUCCCAAAAUCAAUCCCAACCGUCCUUUUGUGGUCAUAAACCUUGUGUCAAAAUUUCAUAGAUUUCUAUUCACUUAAACUAAAGUUAUAGUGCGAAAACCAAGAAAAUGCUUAUUUGGGCCCUUUUUGGCCCCUAAUUCCUAAAAUGUUGGUACCAAAACUCCCAAAAUCAAUACCAACCUUCCUUUUGUGGUCAUAAACCUUGUUAGAUUUCCAUUCACUUUUACUAAAGUUAGAGUGCGAAAACUAAAAGUAUUCGGACGACGACGACGACGACGCCGACGACGCCAACGUGAUAGCAAUAUACGACGAAAAAUUUUUCAAAUUUUGCGGUCGUAUAAAAAAAUGAAUGUAAUUUAAAAGUAUUUCGCUUAUAAAAUCCGUUAGAACUUAUUUUAGAAAGCUAUCUGAAAAAAAGGUGAGUGCUAUAACGGGUUUUUUUUUUUUUGGCUAACGUCUUCAAGUGUGUAACGGUCUAGGUGACACUAGUAUCGUGCAUAGUAUGAAGCUUCAUUUUUAUGAAGCCCAGGUGGUCGUGUGGUCUAGCGGGACGGCUACAGUGCAGGCGAUUUGGUGUUACGAUAUCUCAGUAGCAUGGGUUCGAAUCCCGGCGAGGUAAGAACGCAAAUUCACAGAUCUAACAUUGUUGGGUUGAUGUUUAGACGAGUUGUAUAUACAUUAUGUACACAGCCAUGCAUCACUAUCACUG